CAUAGAUUUUUAUCUUUUAGAAAAGAGCGCCUUUGCAAACCUGUCAUUUCCAAAAAUUGUGGACAGCCAUACAGAAUGUGUUCUGUCGAAUGGCAUUUGGUGCAGUUGCUGCCUUCAACUGCCACCAUCGAGUGUGUGAUUCUUUUUGAUUUGUCCCCGUGAGUUACUGUUUUCCCUUCAGACGAAGGCUCCCCUUUGCUUUGUUCCAAUUCCUCGCAACGAGCAUCCAAGAACUUGAAGAAGUCGUCGAAAGUGGAGUGCAUUGUCUUCCUCUGGAUCCCCAUACCCAUCCACGUGUUCGAGAAGGGCUAUGGAAUCUCCAAGUUGUGAGAACUCUUUCCAAGCCGAUUGGAGCAGUUCCAUCCGUGAGGUGACCUGCGCCGUUGUAGUUGGUUCCUCCCCUUCAGCCCAAGCCAAUGCGCGUGUGAUAAUUGGCCUUGAGUCUGCCACGGGCUUUUACCAAUGCCUUUAAUUGUUCCAUUGUAAACAAUUUUCAAUUAACACCAAAGCACACAAAACUGUUCAAGAAUCCGGCUCGAAGGACCAAAGAAUGUUCGCAAAUAAUAUGCUCGACGAAUUUGAUUCUAGUGGACUGUAUUUAUUUUGUUCUUGUCCAGUUCGAUGUCUAUUUGGUACUGAAAAAUGCCGUCGCAGCGUCGCGAUGGACUUGUUAUACGUUCCUCAACAGAAAGUAAGAGGGAGGAGAUAGGUGUGGCAGCACCGGCGACUCUGCCAAGCGGUCUGGCAUCUUGAUAUCUGACUUCGACGCUAAGCACAAUGAAUGUAGUUUAAAUAAUAAUUAAUAAAGGUCCAAGCGUACAUUGGCCAAUGCGCUAAAAAGGAUAAGGGACGGCCGUAUAUUUACUAUAAGUAGCAUUAAUUAAUUUUUAUGUCUUCGUAUUAUAAUUUUAUUCUUUGUGUGCUCCUGUAUAUAUGUAUCUCCCUUAAUUAUGUGUUCUCUUACCAUUCAACCUUCUAUACGGACAUCUAGAAACCCAGUCAUCCCUUUGCAAUGAAUCUAAUCCUGUUCGAAAACGGGCGUUACGAUUUGAGAGAGCUGGGCUUUGGGGGUGGAGUUGUUGCUCCCUCAAAUCAACCCAGA